AACGAACGCUGGCGGCAUGCCUAACACAUGCAAGUCGAACGAAGGCUUCGGCCUUAGUGGCGCACGGGUGCGUAACGCGUGGGAAUCUGCCCUUUGGUUCGGAAUAACAGCUGGAAACGGCUGCUAAUACCGGAUGAUGACGAAAGUCCAAAGAUUUAUCGCCAGAGGAUGAGCCCGCGUUGGAUUAGGUAGUUGGUGGUGUAAAGGCCUACCAAGCCGACGAUCCAUAGCUGGUCUGAGAGGAUGAUCAGCCACACUGGGACUGAGACACGGCCCAGACUCCUACGGGGGGCAGCAGUGGGGAAUAUUGGACAAUGGGCGCAAGCCUGAUCCAGCAAUGCCGCGUGAGUGAUGAAGGCCCUAGGGUUGUAAAGCUCUUUUACCCGGGAAGAUAAUGACUGUACCGGGAGAAUAAGCCCCGGCUAACUCCGUG
rnacentral:rRNA from 1 species